CUGGCCCAAUACCUGCCAGACUGUGGGCCCUGUUAGAAAGGGUCUAGAGGGUGUGAAGGGCGAGAAGGGAAGUGGCCCAAGAACAGUUAGAGAAGGGGAGAAAAGGAGGGCAAGGAGGCUGCCACUGGAGGGUCCCUGGGUUGGGACCCAGAGUAGUGGGUGGGCCUGGGUCCCCCCCAUUCCUCCUUGUACAGCACCUGGCUGUGGAAGAGUGGCUGUGACAGACUGCAACUGGCCCUUGAACAGAGGGGCUAGGCUCGAGGGGUUGUGGUUGGCCACUGCGGCAGGAGUGAAGGAGUGAACUGGCAGGACUGCUGUUAAACCUCCCCGCUGGAAGGGGGCAAGUGUGGACUUGAGGGCACUGCCGGAGGGCAGUGUCCUGAAGAGGUCACCGCGAGCUGGGAGCAAUGUGGGUCAAGAAGCCAAUCAAGGGCGAGAGACGGAAGGGACACCGCUGGCAGACGGCGCUCUGCAUGAACUGAGCUAAUUCCCAGAGUGAACAGCAGGAGGCACUGUGGUGCUUCUGCAGAUGUGGUCUUCUGGGGAGCCCUCUACACAAUGGCAGAACACCUCCAUCAGAGAAGGAAGUGACCAAGGAAGAGCAAGGAGGACAUGUUCUGAGAGGUGAUCCAAUCCUCAGAGGCCGAAAAAAGAGAACACAGGGAGUGUAGAGAGACUUUGAAGGAAAAAUUUAAAAUAGAAAGGCAGGACAGAAAGGAGAGUGAGGAGCAAAUUGUAAAGGGCCAGGAGCAGAUGAUAAAAGUGAUGGAGCAGCAAAGAGAUGUUGAAGUCCCUCAUCACAAUCUAGCAGAACAGAUGUUUCCCCUGCCUGCCAAUACAGAACUGCUUUCCAUGCCCUCCCCAAAUUCCUCCCACACAUUUCUUGCAACUUCCUUGAAUGUCUCAGUACCCCAUUCACUCCACCCCUUCAGACAGCUGAUAGCUGCACUUACACCCAGUAUGAGAGACUACACUGCCCUGCACUCUUAUCUCCCUCCCCACCAAGCCUUUUUUGUCUGUUCUUAAUUGGCAUUUAAUAAAAACAAACUCUCUGAGAGAUAACUAAUCUUUAUUUGUCUCCUACACAAGAUGUUUGCUGCUGGUAGUAAUAAACAAUGGCAAUUUGA